rnacentral:lncRNA from 1 species
CUUGUGAUGAAGCCUGCCAGCACACAGCUUCAUGCCCCUGUGAACUCAACCAGGGCCUGGCUUGCAGAUGGAUCUGGCCCACUCAAGACAGAUUAUGACCUAUUUUAAGGGAUCCCUGCUUCCAUUCAGGCUCCUCAAGUAAGCUUACAGCUCUUCAGGGCCAACGCUGCUCUGGGAUAGGUUGCAGAAGACCCAGUCAGCCACAGCAAGUCUUAGGCACUGUAGCCCUCAGCAGCACCGAUGGGCAAGAUGAACAGACAUGGAGGCCUGUGUGUGUUGCGCACUGUUCCAGAAAUCCCAUGAAGAACCGAAGAGAGUCCUUACCUCAAGGCUUAUAGUCUCGUUUCUCCUGUCUUUACUCCCAAAUAAUUGGCUCUGAAAAGGAUUUGGUUCUCUGCCGUCUUUUCUUUCAGUGAAUUCCCAAGGCAGCUCCAUGGCUGCCGGAAAGCAGCGAGAGAAAAGCAUCACAUGGCUGGCCUGUGCUCCUCGGGGAGUUGCUCUGGGGGACUGCCUGGAGCAUUGCCCCAGAGGCUUAGCAUCCCCAGCUUCUGGGCACUGAGUGCUGCUCACCUGCUACUCCCAGUCACCUUGACAACCAAAAACAUCCGCCGCCCCGCCCCUCCAUUUUGAAAUGGCAGUAAGGCUCUCACAUGAAAAUCACCAAAUACGUUUGAUGACAUUUUUGUUUCAAAAUCUCUUACCCAAUGCAAGUGGAGCCGGCAGACUGUGAACCGCAGGUACAGUUUAGCACACGACCUUUUUUGGUGUGGCUAAAGAUGGUUUUCAUAUUAUUUUAUUUUAUUUUUAGUAUUAUUAUUAUUUUCAUAUUUCUAGAGGGUUGGGAGGAAGAGGAGGAGAGGAAGUGAAAGAGUCCACAUUUCUUCUGUGGUCCAGGUAAAGGUCACAGUCCGUCAGGCAACGACCAAGGACUGCCAGGUGCUGGUGAUACCAUGCCGGAGAAGCGCUCACUGUUGCCCCAAGGGGACAACAGUCCUGCGUGGGGGAGAAUGAAUGCACCCAUGGGUUUCAUGGUGCAAGUAUGUGGCAGCUGUGUUCUGACCCAGGAAAAGGGCCUGAGGACCAGUCCAAGAGGCGAGGAGGGCAGAGUGGAAGGGAAGGAGCCAGCUUGCUGCCGAUGCUAUACAGAGCUUCCCCAUCUCUGGACUGACUGGCUGCUGUGGAAGGUACCAGACUCGGGCCCUGUUUCCCCAUCCUUAUCUGUAAAGUGA